ACACUGGAACUGAGACACGGUCCAGACUCCUACGGGAGGCAGCAGUGGGGAAUAUUGCACAAUGGGCGCAAGCCUGAUGCAGCCAUGCCGCGUGUAUGAAGAAGGCCUUCGGGUUGUAAAGUACUUUCAGCGGGGAGGAAGGGAGUAAAGUUAAUACCUUUGCUCAUUGACGUUACCCGCAGAAGAAGCACCGGCUAACUCCGUGCCAGCAGCCGCGGUAAUACGGAGGGUGCAAGCGUUAAUCGGAAUCACUGGGCGUAAAGCGCACGUAGGCGGCUUGGUAAGUCAGGGGUGAAAUCCCACAGCCCAACUGUGGAACUGCCUUUGAUACUGCCAGGCUUGAGUACCGGAGAGGGUGGCGGAAUUCCAGGUGUAGGAGUGAAAUCCGUAGAUAUCUGGAGGAACACCGGUGGCGAAGGCGGCCACCUGGACGGUAACUGACGCUGAGGUGCGAAAGCGUGGGUAGCAAACAGGAUUAGAUACCCUGGUAGUCCACGCUGUAAACGAUGGGUGCUGGGUGCUGGGAUGUAUGUCUCGGUGCCGUAGCUAACGCGAUAAGCACCCCGCCUGGGGAGUACGGUCGCAAGGCUGAAACUCAAAGAAAUUGACGGGGGCCCGCACAAGCGGUGGAGUAUGUGGUUUAAUUCGAUGCAACGCGAAGAACCUUACCAGGCCUUGACAUGGAUGUAAAUGCCCUAGAGAUAGGGAGAUAGCUAUACAUCACACAGGUGGUGCAUGGUUGUCGUCAGCUCGUGUCGUGAGAUGUUGGGUUAAGUCCC
rnacentral:rRNA from 1 species